CCCUCUAUGGCCCAGUUGGCUAAGGCGUCCGACUGUGAAUCGGGAGACCCCUGGUUUGAGCUCAGGUGGAGGAG